GAUAUCUUCUGUCUCGGGUAUGCUGUUGUCAUCGUGGACUACUUCAGCAAGUGGCCUGAGGCCAAAGCCAUUCCAAUGAAAGAAGCGAUUUAUGUUGCAGAACUCUUGUAUGAACUGUUCAUGAGACAUGGAAUUCCCAAAGUUAUAAUUUCCGGCCAAGGCAGAGAAUUCUGCAAUGCAGUUUGUGACAUGCUACUGGAAAGGACAGGUGUCGAACAUUGAAUGACGAGUGCUUACUACCCACAGACCAAUGGACUAACAGAGAGAUUCAAUCAAACUCUUAAAAAUGGUAUUAGUCAGAUGAUCCACAGUUCUGAUAACGAAUGGGUCCUAGCAAUUCCUGCUAUCCUUUUUUCGUAUGGUAUAGCUGUUCAUUCAUCAACAAACUUUACACCCUUCAUGCUCUUUAAUAAUCGUGAGGCACAUUUGCCAUUGGACAUGAAGGUAGAAAAAUCAGCUGAGAUUGGAGUGUCAAGUCAAACACAGGAAGAACUCAAACAUCAUGUAGAAUUACUAGUAAACAUCAGGCAGUCAUAUGCUAGUAUUGCCAAGAAGAAUAUUGCCAAGGCACAACAACGCCACAAAGACAGUUAUGACAGGCGACACAACACCUCUUCCACAGGAAUACAACUAAAUGAUAAAGUUCUUUUAAAAAAACAGCAAACACGAUAGUCGUAAAGGAGGGAAACUAGAGGUCAGAUGGACUGGGCCAUAUAGCAUAAUCGAGUGUCGAGGCAAAGGAUGCUUCAAGCUGAGAAAUACAGAUGGUCACCAGGUGUCACUGUGAAGCAGACAGUACAUGCUUGUCGCCUCAAAAUGUACCACCAGCUAUGGAACACAGGCGAUUCUCCUCCAUCCAAACUGUCCAGGCAAAGCAAUGAUGAGAGCAACAAUGAGUUUUGAACACUUGUAGACACAUGUCAGUGAAAAUGUCAAUACUGGUUUUCUUCUACCUUCCCCACCACCAACAUUUGUGCCUGAUGACAUUCCACUGCCUCCGCCACCUUAUGAGUUAAGCUCAAUACUGAUGAAGAUAGUGCAGGUGCAGAGGUAUACCUCAAUGCUCAUAGUAAACCACUUGUGAUCUUCAGACUUGCUAAAUGUGGGUUUUAGUAAAGGAGUCGAUCACUCCCUUACUGGGUGACAAAGCAAAUCCUGAUUUGAAUAGAACUGAAGUGACUUGGAAGCUGUGCCAGUUUAUCAGACACGAGUGAAACCUCAUCAGAAGUAUAAGUCUGGCAUGGGCACAGCUUCAUAUCAAAAGAAAAUGAACAAGCAAUGUCAGAUAAAGACCAAGGUCACUAGGGAAGUGCCAGAGCCCGUUGUCAUUUCCGACAAUAAUGAUGACAUUCAGGCAGUUGGUGACAUCCAGCCAUUGGGGCUAUCUAGCCAUGAUCUUCAGAUCCUAGAAAAGAACAGUGGAACAGCAGCAUGGUUGAACGAUCAACUGAUCAAUGCUGGUCAACAGCUGAUUCAAAAGCAGUUCCCAUCUGUUGGUGGUCUUCAACAUCCUAUUUUGUCGGAAACACUGACAUUUGACAUACAAAAAGGUCCUUUUGUACAAAUUGUUAACUGCUCUAGAAAUCACUGGAUAUGUUUGUCGUCGUUUGGGUGUCCCUCAAACAAUGUCAGUAUUUUUGACAGCCUUCAUUCAUCAUGUCCUAAGUUAGGAAAGGAUGUUGAGGAGAUCGUCGCUUCUAUUCUUUUCACUGAAUCUGCGUCAAUCAAUUUUAUGCUUCCUCAAGUACAACGACAAAGGACAGGAAUUAACUGUGGGCUGUUGCCUUAGCAUUUGCUUAUUCUAUCUGUUGUGGCCAAGAUCCCGAAGCCAUCCUAUUUCAAGAGGAUCUGAUGAGAAAGCACUUGUUAAGCCGUAUUAGAGAGGAAGAGAUGAAACCUUUCCCUUCUACAAAGAGAAUGACACAUCUUUGCCAUAGAGUAGUGGAAGGUUUUAUCAAAGUGUUCUGACUGCCUGACACGGGAGACAGAAUGCUACAGUGUGACAAAUGUGAAGAAUGGUACCAUUUUACUUGCAUACAGAGAGCUUAUGACAUGUCAACAAAGAAAACCUGGCACUGUCAGUGUGUUCUGGAAAUGAAACCAUUUCAGUGAAGUCCUUAUCUGUUUUGCUGGGACUCCCUAAUUCUGCAUGUUGCAUAUGAUGUUACAGUUACCUAUUAAUGUUUUAUGGCAAUAUAUAUGUGUAAUGAUCCGA